GCUUCCAGUCGCUGAAUUAAAGUUAAACCAAGCAAGCAAUGGAGGAGGCUGUAUUAAUUCUGCUCAAUGCAUUUGCUAUGCAGUCAUAAAAUGAGGUCAGUGCUUGCAUGUAUUUCAGGCUUGGUAAACGCAAGUAUUGCCUUAAGAAUCCCUCAUCACCUUAAACGACACUGGCCUUGAGCCACUACAUACAGAGUUUUAUGAGUUUUCCAUUUCUCAAUGGUUUCCCAGUUGGCCGAGCUAAGAGAGAGGCUUGUUAGUUUACAUUAGGGGCAG